AUUCACGCUGGCGGCGUGCCUCAUCCCUGCCAGUCGCGCGAACAGACGAGGAGCUUGCUCCUCUGACGUUAGCGGCGGACGGGGGAGUAACACGUGGAUAACCUACCUAUAAGACUGGGAUAACUUCGGGAAACCGGAGCUAAUACCGGAUAAUAUAUUGAACCGCAUGGUUCAAUAGUGAAAGACGGUUUUGCUGUCACUUAUAGAUGGAUCCGCGCCGCAUUAGCUAGUUGGUAAGGUAACGGCUUACCAAGGCAACGAUGCGUAGCCGACCUGAGAGGGUGAUCGGCCACACUGGAACUGAGACACGGUCCAGACUCCUACGGGAGGCAGCAGUAGGGAAUCUUCCGCAAUGGGCGAAAGCCUGACGGAGCAACGCCGCGUGAGUGAUGAAGGUCUUCGGAUCGUAAAACUCUGUUAUUAGGGAAGAACAAAUGUGUAAGUAACUAUGCACGUCUUGACGGUACCUAAUCAGAAAGCCACGGCUAACUACGUG
rnacentral:rRNA from 1 species